AUCCAGACUCCUACGGGAGGCAGCAGUAAGGGAUAUUGGUCAAUGGGGGAAACCCUGAACCAGCAACGCCGCGUGAGGGAAGACGGUUUUCGGAUUGUAAACCUCUGUCCUCUGUGAAGAUGAUGACGGUACCUGAGUAAGAAGCACCGGCUAAAUACGUGCCAGCAGCCGCGGUAAUACGUAUGGUGCAAGCGUUAUCCGGAUUUACUGGGUGUAAAGGGCGUGUAGGCGGGACUGCAAGUCAGAUGUGAAAACCACGGGCUCAACCUGUGGCCUGCAUUUGAAACUGUAGUUCUUGAGUACUGGAGAGGCAGACGGAAUUCCUAGUGUAGCGGUGAAAUGCGUAGAUAUUAGGAGGAACACCAGUGGCGAAGGCGGUCUGCUGGACAGCAACUGACGCUGAGGCGCGAAAGCGUGGGGAGCAAACAGGAUUAGAUACCCGUGUAA
rnacentral:rRNA from 1 species